rnacentral:rRNA from 1 species
UACGUAGGGUGCGAGCGUUGUCCGGAAUUACUGGGCGUAAAGAGCUCGUAGGUGGUUUGUCGCGUUGUUCGUGAAAUUCCCUGGCUUAACUGGGGGCGUGCGGGCGAUACGGGCAGACUGGAGUACUGCAGGGGAGACUGGAAUUCCUGGUGUAGCGGUGAAAUGCGCAGAUAUCAGGAGGAACACCGGUGGCGAAGGCGGGUCUCUGGGCCGAUACUGACGCUGAGGAGCGAAAGCGUGGGGAGCGAACAGG